rnacentral:misc_RNA from 1 species
GGAUGAAUCUGGAGCUCACCUCUAUUACAAUUGCCCUAGUGGGAACUACUUUGAAUAUCAGGCAUUUGCUAUUGGAUCUCGCUCUCAAGCUGCCAAGACAUACUUAGAGCGCAGGUUUGCGAACUUUGCAGACUCUUCACGGGAUGAUCUGAUUAAAGAUGCUCUCAUUGCAGUUAGAGAAACCUUACAAGGAGAAACACUC